GCCUGUUCAUUUGAAUCAGCUGUGUUGUGCAACAGGGAGAAAUAGAAAACAUGCAGAAUGGCAGCCCUCCAGGAUCUGAGUUUGACACUCUAAAGUUUAGAGCCUAAACUUUAGAGUGUUCCAGAAUCUGCCAUGCACCUUUUUGGAAUGUGGGAGGUUUUGGCCCAUCUGUCCAUUUUGAAAAUCAAACGUGGUCACCUGAGCUAAAAAAAUGUUAUCACCCCUAAAGGUAACCAUUGUUGAAUUAGUUGUUUUAAAAACUGACAGGACCGUGCCUCAUAUGCGAAAUAGAAGCCUGUGAAGUACAUUACAGGAAUAUGAAAACUCAAGAGAUGGGUGUGUGGUCGGGCAACCACAAAACGACUUUUGGACUAAAAUACAGUUUUGGCACUUGUCACUCCCAGGCAGGCAUUCCAUUAGCGGGACGAAAAGCGUCAAGUCAACUAUUACGCACGCCCCAUGGACGCACAUAAAAUCUGGAGGUCCAACUUGAACCGCGCCGCUCUACUUUGACUUCGUCAGCUGUCAACUUGAAAAAGUGCUCUACCUGCUCGGGCAAGUCACGGAGGCUUGUCCACGGCUCCGCGGGCUGCGCUGACGCCGCCGCCGCCACCUCUUUAUCCUCUGG